UACAGAGGUCCCAAGCGUUGUUCGGAUUCACUGGGCGUAAAGGGUGCGUAGGCGGUCGGGUAAGUCUGAUGUGAAAUCUCACAGCUUAACUGUGAAACUGCAUUGGAUACUAUCCGGCUCGAGGAAUGGAGGGGAGAAUGGAAUUCCCGGUGUAGCGGUGAAAUGCGCAGAUAUCGGGAGGAACACCGGUGGCGAAGGCGGUUCUCUGGGCCUGACCUGACGCUGAGGAGCGAAAGCGUGGGGAGCGAACAGG
rnacentral:rRNA from 1 species